GAUGAACGCUGGCGGCGUGCCUAAUACAUGCAAGUCGAGCGAACAGACGAGGAGCUUGCUCCUCUGACGUUAGCGGCGGACGGGUGAGUAACACGUGGAUAACCUACCUAUAAGACUGGGAUAACUUCGGGAAACCGGAGCUAAUACCGGAUAAUAUAUUGAACCGCAUGGUUCAAUAGUGAAAGACGGUUUUGCUGUCACUUAUAGAUGGAUCGGCGCCGCAUUAGCUAGUUGGUAAGGUAAAGGCUUACCAAGGCAACGAUGCGUAGCCGACCUGAGAGGACGACCAGCCACACUGGGACUGAGACACGGCCCAGACUCCUACGGGAGGCAGCAGUGGGGAAUGUUGGACAAUGGGCGCAAGCCUGAUCCAGCAAUGCCGCGUGCAGGAAGAAGGCCUUCGGGUUGUAAACUGCUUUUGUACGGAACGAAAAGGCUCUGGUUAAUACCCGGGGCUAAUGACGGUACCGUAAGAAUAAGCACCGGCUAACUACGUG
rnacentral:rRNA from 1 species